UAGUUUAACAAAACUAACAGCUCUUUCAAGAUUAUGUGGUAGGUGGUGCAUGGCCGUUCUUAGUUCGUGAAGUGAUUCGUUCGCCCAAUCGCAUUUCCAAACAACUAACAACUCAGAAUGCUGGGCAAUAGGACGUUUAAAGUGGCUCCUUACACCUUACAAAGGAAUGGCUGAUGAGAAACAACUCGAUCCGCUCAGCGUUCUAUUGGAAUGCAACGGACGUGAUUGCAAGCUUUUGUUUUGAGUUGCGGUUUUACUGAAAGACUCUACAAUCCGCAAACUUCAAUGAUCUGAAGUAGAAAACCUACAUGCUAC
rnacentral:rRNA from 1 species